CCGUCUCUGACAAUGCUCUGUGCUCUGCCCAGAAGGGCUGGAGACGGCAAUGAAGCUCACUGGGGUUCUACUCAUACCUCGAGGGGCUGCAUAAAGAUCCACUCCUUUAGAGAAAAAAGAACCCGCCUCCGAUUCCAGGCCCAGAACCAGAAUGUCAGUCCUGAAGCAACCCGUGCCCUGUAGCAUCUGGACCAUCGGCUCAUUGAGGAAGUAUCAUGUUUGAUACAUAACUCCCACCCCCGACAUUCCAGGAUCAAAUAUUGAAUGGAACUUUAAAGAUGACAUAGGUAACUGAACUGCCUCUGGGGAAGCAUUGUUCCAAUUCGGAGCAGUUUCAAGCAGUUUCCGGGUAAAUAAUGAGAUCAGAGCUGUAAGAGCCCACCAGGUUCUCCAGCCUGAUUCUGUCGAGGAAACUGAAGAGCAGAUAAGUAAAUUUAUGUGCCCAAGGUCACUUAGCUAGUUCGCGUUUCCAACCGGAACUCACUUCGGACAUCCCGCAUCCAUGCGGACAGUCCUCACCUUCGGUCUGCCGUUCCUGCUGGGUAUGGAAGCCCUGCUCCCCAGGAGAUUUAGAACAUUCUUCCCAGGAUGGCACAGCAUCUCCAGACACCCCCGCCCCAGAAAACUGUCCGCCUGCUGCAGCAACUGCCUGCCUGUGUCCUCAGGGCUACACUCCCUGGGACAGGGGUGCUCCCCCACAGUAACGCUGGAGCUGUUCCUGCCACAGCAGCCCUGACCCAGCUGGCAGAGGCCCAUCUGCUCCGAGACCGGCCUCCCUGCCUCCUUCCAGCACCACACGGCGGCUGGACACUGAGGACCUCGCUCCCCUCCCGUGGAAAGACCGAGCACAGCAGAAGACCUUGAACCGACAAGAAAUGCUCCAUCCCUGUUUACCGAGGGCGACUAUCUGCCGGCCGGCAAGCCACCGUGAUUUUCAUCAGGGCGGCCGGAUUUAGGAAAUACAAAUACAGGACGCCCGGUUGCGUUUGCCUUUCAGUUACGAAGGCCUGGCCAUUUAGGAUGGUCUAAAUCUAAAGACGGAAGCAUGCGGAAAUUUUGUCUUUGAGUACAUAAUGUCAUGAACUGUGUGAGCACAACUCAAAACACUGGAGGAAAUGCUAACGUACACCUCUUUGCCUACGAAGAAGAUUGCUACCAAGCAAAACAUGAAAUAUUUCUUUUUCAAACAUCUGAAUCCCGACCCAGAAGUGAAUGUACAAACUGCCAUCUUGUUAUUUUCCAACGAAAAUACAGGGAUAGUUUCCAUGCAGCCACCAGGCGGUAUCACUGUCCUGUAAAACCUUCCAGCUCAGCUCCCCCCUUGGCCCACAGCACCCCCGUGCCACCUUCCCUGCCUGCCUCCCCCGCAAGCCGACUACCUGCCACUCUCAUUUCACCUCUUCAGCCACACUGGCUUUUCUCUCCGAUCCCAGAACACGCCCAGGGUGGCCCCAUUGCAAGGCCUUCCUGUUUGCCGUUUCCUGGGCACGGAGUGUUCUGUCUGUGGUUCUUGCCAUGGUUGCUCAUUGUAAUAAAGGUCUCAGCUCAUAGCUCACCCUCGCAGCUGGGCUUUCCCAUCUCAUCCUGUCUGAGGUAGCAUACCCCAUGCAAAGCAUUCUUUAUCACAUUUUACCGUCGUCUUCAUACUUCCUAGAAUUAUCUGCCAAAUUAUCAUUUCAGUGUCUGUCUUCCAAUAAGGGCAAAAAUCUUGUCUUGGCCACGAUAGCAUCCCUUGGGCCAAGGACAGUACUUGGCACAAAAUAGGUGCUCGACAAACAUUUGUCGAUUGAACAAAUAAAUUCCAACUCCCGAGAGUUGCGCUUACGUUAGAAAGGACACACAUAUUCACGAUGGGAACCAGGCCCCAGACUUUUCACUUUCAGAAAUGCACCACGGAAAAUGCAUCCAAUUUCCGCUAAUAACAACUGUGUAUGAUUUAUUGGGAAGAAUUCUUGUGCUCUAGAAAAUUUUAAAAUUAAAGGAAGAAUUGGGGCGCCUGGGUGGCGCAGUCGGUUAAGCGUCCGAC